AAGCUACACCACAACAGCCCAGUAUAACCCAUCAAAGCCAGGCUGAUGCUCAGGGCUUCAACAGAAUUGGGCAGAACAGCCACGAACCCCCUCCUAAAACUACGAUCUGGACCUCAGCAGACACCAUCAGGACACCCACAUGGCUUCCUUCGAUUCGUCCUGCAGAUCUCCCUGGCAUCACUUUCUGAGACACCGUACUCAACCCCCUCCAACAGGGAAAGCCCCCGCGCUAUGUCCUGACUCCCCCAGCUGCGCCUGGCUCCCCCACCUGUGCCUGGCUCCUCCAGAGACACCUGUUCCAGCCCAGUGUGCGGUGUGCUCAUUGUGCCAUCUCCUUGGGUGGAGUGAUGGCUCCAUGAGGGCAGGCAGCUUUAGGUUCAAGUUGGUUUGGAAUCCAACAGGCCUGACAUCAUCAUUUCUCACCAGUGUAACCUUGGCUCAUGAAUUCUGCUUUCUGAGCCUCAGUUUCCUCAUCUGCAGAAUGGGGGCAGCACAGAGCCUCCCUCAUUGCCUUGUUGUGAGCGUUCCCCAGGAUCAUGAGUGCUUUAAAAGGUGCUUAGGUCAGCUGAGCACAAUGGUUCACACCUGCAAUCCCAACACUUUGAAGGCUGAGACGGAAGGAAGAUCGCUUGAGCCCAGGCGUUCAAGACCAGCCUGAG
rnacentral:lncRNA from 1 species